rnacentral:rRNA from 1 species
GAUGAACGCUAGCGGCAGGCCUAAUACAUGCAAGUCGAACGGAUAUAUGUUUUUCGGAAUAUAUAUUAGUGGCGCACGGGUGAGUAACACGUACAUAACUUGCCCUCAAGCGGGGGAUAGCCUUGGGAAACUGAGAGUAAUACCCCAUAGAAUUAUUGGACGGCAUCGUUUGAUAAUUAAAACUACGGUGUUUGGGGAUAGAUGUGCGUCUGAUUAGCUAGUUGGUGAGGUAACUGCUCACCAAGGCGACGAUCAGUAGGGGGCGUGAGAGCGUGGCCCCCCCACACGGGUACUGAGACACGGACCCGACUCCUACGGGAGGCAGCAGUAAGGAAUAUUGGUCAAUGGAGGGAACUCUGAACCAGCCAUGCCGCGUGAAGGAUGACGGCCCUCUGGGUUGUAAACUUCUUUUGGAUGGGGCGAAAAAACGGGAUUUAUCCUGGACUGACGGUACCAUCAGAAUAAGCACCGGCUAACUCCGUG